GACGAACGCUGGCGGCGUGCUUAACACAUGCAAGUCGAACGGAAAGGCCCUGCUUUUGUUGGGUGCUCGAGUGGCGAACGGGUGAGUAACACGUGAGUAACCUGCCCUUGACUUUGGGAUAACUUCAGGAAACUGGGGCUAAUACCGGAUAUGAUCUUCUGCUGCAUGGUGGUGGUUGGUAAGUUUCGGCGGUUGGGGAUGUGAUCGCGGCUUAUCCGCUUGUUUGUCGGGUAGUUGCUUACCACGGCUUUGACGGGUAGCCUGCCUGAGAGGGUGACCGGCCACAUUGGGACUGAGAGACGGCCCAGACGCGUACGGGAGGCAGCGGGGGGGAAUAUUGCACAAUGGGCGGAAGCCUGAUGCAGCAACGCCGCGUGCGGAAUGACGGCCUUCGGGUUGUAAACCGCUUUCGCCUGUGACGAAGCGUGAGUGACGGUAAUGGGUAAAGAAGCACCGGCUAACUACGUG
rnacentral:rRNA from 1 species